rnacentral:lncRNA from 1 species
UAUAAUAGUUAAGGGAAUUUUCAUAUAUUAACUUUUGAAAUUUUGUGAGGGUAUAAAUAAAAAUGAAUUGGAGGGUAAAUUUGGUAUUUUGAAUCCGUCAUAUCUAAACAUGACGGAAUAAUAGUUAUGAGGGCAUUUUUAAAAAUUUUUAUGCUUUUUGAGGGUAAAUAUGAAAUUUUAAUUUUUUUAAGGAAUAUUUAUGUUAUUAGAAUUAUUUGGAAGGAUAAGAAGGAAAUUUUUCCAAGAAUUAAAGAUUCUU